CCUACGGGGGGCUGCAGUGGGGAAUAUUGGACAAUGGGGGGAACCCUGAUCCAGCCAUGCCGCGUGUGUGAAGAAGGCCCUCGGGGUGUAAAGCACUUUCAGUGAGGAAGAACGCCUGGUGGUUAAUACCCAUCAGGAAAGACAUCACUCACAGAAGAAGCACCGGCUAACUCCGUGCCAGCAGCCGCGGUAAUACGGAGGGUGCGAGCGUUAAUCGGAAUUACUGGGCGUAAAGCGCGCGUAGGUGGCUUGAUAAGCCGGUUGGGAAAGCCCCGGGCUCAACCUGGGAACGGCAUCCGGAACUGUCAAGCUAGAGUGCAGGAGAGGAAGGUAGAAUUCCCGGUGUAGCGGUGAAAUGCGUAGAGGUCGGGAGGAAUACCAGUGGCGAAGGCGGCCUUCUGGACUGACACUGACACUGAGGUGCGAAAGCGUGGGUAGCAAACAGGAUUAGAUACCCCAGUAGUC
rnacentral:rRNA from 1 species